CUACGUGCCAGCAGCCGCGGUAAUACGGAGGGUGCGAGCGUUAAUCGGAAUAACUGGGCGUAAAGGGCACGCAGGCGGCUAUUUAAGUGAGGUGUGAAAGCCCCGGGCUUAACCUGGGAAUUGCAUUUCAUACUGGGUCGCUAGAGUACUUUAGGGAGGGGUAGAAUUCCACGUGUAGCGGUGAAAUGCGUAGAGAUGUGGAGGAAUACCGAAGGCGAAGGCAGCCCCUUGGGAAUGUACUGACGCUCAUGUGCGAAAGCGUGGGGAGCAAACAGGAUUAGAUACCCUGSCAGUCCACGCUGUAAACGAUGUCGAUUUGGGGGUUGAACUUUGAGUUUGGCGCCCGUAGCUAACGUGAUAAAUCGACCGCCUGGGGAGUACGGCCGCAAGGUUAAAACUCAAAUGAGUUGACGGGGGCCCGCACAAGCGGUGGAGCAUGUGGUUUAAUUCGAUGCAACGCGAAGAACCUUACCUACUCUU
rnacentral:rRNA from 1 species